rnacentral:misc_RNA from 1 species
UACGGAGGGUGCAAGCGUUGUUCGGAAUUACUGGGCGUAAAGCGCGUGUAGGCGGCGCUGUAAGUCGGAUGUGAAAGCCCUCGGCUUAACCGAGGAAGUGCAUCCGAUACUGCAGUGCUUGAGUACCGGAGGGGGUGGCGGAAUUCCUGGUGUAGAGGUGAAAUUCGUAGAUAUCAGGAGGAACACCUGUGGCGAAGGCGGCCACCUGGACGGUAACUGACGCUGAGACGCGAAAGCGUGGGUAGCAAACAGG